rnacentral:tRNA from 1 species
GCUGCCUAAGUAUAGUUUAUGUACGGUUGCCUUCCAAGUAGCAAGGUUAGAUGGUUCUAAAGGCGGUA